GGGCACUUGGCACAGUUGGUAGCGCGCACGCUUCGCAUAAAUGAAGGAUGAUUCAGAUUUUUCUGCGUGAGGUCGGGAGUUCGACUCUCCCAGUGUCCA